rnacentral:rRNA from 1 species
GUGGGGAAUAUUGGACAAUGGGCGCAAGCCUGAUCCAGCCAUGCCGCGUGAGUGAUGAAGGCCCUAGGGUUGUAAAGCUCUUUCACCGGUGAAGAUAAUGACGGUAACCGGAGAAGAAGCCCCGGCUAACUUCGUGCCAGCAGCCGCGGUAAUACGAAGGGGGCUAGCGUUGUUCGGAAUUACUGGGCGUAAAGCGCACGUAGGCGGAUAUUUAAGUUAGGGGUGAAAUCCCAGGGCUCAACCCUGGAACUGCCUCUAAUACUGGGUAUCUCGAGUCCGAGAGAGGUGAGUGGAAUUCCGAGUGUAGAGGUGAAAUUCGUAGAUAUUCGGAGGAACACCAGUGGCGAAGGCGGCUCACUGGCUCGGUACUGACGCUGAGGUGCGAAAGCGUGGGGAGCAAACAGGAUUAGAAACCCGAGUAGUCC